rnacentral:rRNA from 1 species
UACGAAGGGGGCGAGCGUGGUUCGGAAGCAUUGGGCGUAAAGGGCGCGUAGGCGGCUUUGUAAGUCGGGGGUGAAAGCCUGUGGCUCAACCACAGAAUUGCCUUCGAUACUGUAGAGCUUGAGACCGGAAGAGGUAAGUGGAACUGCGAGUGUAGAGGUGAAAUUCGUAGAUAUUCGCAAGAACACCAGUGGCGAAGGCGGCUUACUGGUCCGGUUCUGACGCUGAGGCGCGAAGGCGUGGGGAGCGAACGGG